GUGCUGGGCCUCUGUCUCUAAAGGCCCAGAGCCCCUGGGGCUGACCAGCAGCUUCACCCACCACCCCCAAUCCGGGACCUAAUAAGGAAUUUGAGUCAUCAGAGCCUUUCCAUGUCCAGGCCUGGCUGGUUCAGCUUGUACCCAGGAAGACCAAACAUGGGUCAGUGGGGACUGAGACCGUGAUGUCAGCUCAGGAGCUCGUGGCCUGCCUCUGCCAGGAGGGGGACAAGCACCUGGCCCUGGAGGAGCUGCCCUUAGCCACAGCCUUCUAUCUGGCCGCCUUCAGCUGCCAUGCGCCUUCAGCUGUGCGGCAUGUACAGGCUCUUCUGGCUGAGUCGCCAGGGGCACCUGUGGUGGCCACCCUGGAGUCCUGGUGUUGUGGGGACAGUCAGAUCCCUGCUAUCCACUGGGAUGGCAUGACGGUGGUCUCCCUGACUGGGCCACUGGCCUCUGCCUUCCUCGGUGCCAUUUGCCCGGAUCACCCUGCCACUGUCCUGUACCUUUUGGCUGGCCUGCUGGCCCAAGGGCGUCACGUGGAAGUGGUGCAGCGCUGUAACACUCUGCUGGAUGCACACUCCAAGCAGGCCCUGGAGCUUCAGCUGACACGUGCCCUGGCCUGGGU
ensembl:lincRNA